rnacentral:lncRNA from 1 species
AAAAUUCAAAAAGUAGAGGAGCAAACAUCAUUAAUAAGAACAUAGCGUAAAAUACACAGUUCCUGUCAUGUAGUACUAUUAUCCAUAUGCUCUUUUAUAUUUUUUCCCUGGAUCAUUAGCUAUGAUUAUAUUCGCGUGUAACCCGGGGACUAUGCAUAAGUCAACUAUAAAUAUUUCAUUUUAAUUUUUUUUUCUAAUUUAAUUGCAAGCGAAAACCGAUAACUGCUGAUACUAAAACCUAUCAACGAUUACACAAGCUUAAAAAAAAUGAAAAUAUAAGCAUGUAAUUCAUAUUCAACAAUCAUUGUAAUUGCUUGUCAUUCUUUGCAAUAUUGAAACGUUGUCAUUGGAGGCC